rnacentral:lncRNA from 1 species
ACUCCAGAAGGUUCUGUGAGUUUUGGUUCCAUUCAAUUCUGAGUUUGUUCCACAGACUCACGAAAGUUCUGUGAGUUCUGGUUCUGUUUAAUUCUGAGUUUGCUCAAUGAACUCCAGAAGGUUCUGUGAGUUUUGGUUCCAUUCAAUUCUGAGUUUGUUCCACAGACUCACGAAGGUUCUGUGAAUUCUGGUUCUGUUUAAUUCUGAAUUUGCUCAAUGAACUCCAGAAGGUUCUGUAUGUUCUGGUUCUGUUUUAUUCAGAGUUUUUCCCCCACAAACUCAUGCAGGUUCUGUGGGUUCUCAUUCCAUGUAACUCUGAGUUUGUUCCACAGACUCAUGAAGGUUCUAUGAGUUCUGGUUCUGUUUAAUUCUGAGUUUGCUUAGUGGACUCCAGAAAUUUCUGAGUGUUAUGGUUCCAUUUAAUUCAGAGUGUGAUCUGUGGACUCCAGAAGGAACUGAGUUCUGGUUCUGUUUAAUUUUGAGUUUGCUCAUGGACUCCAGAAGUUUCUGUGUGUUAUGGUUCCAUUUAAUUCAGAGUGUGAUCUGUGGAUUCCAGAAGGAACUUUAAGUUCUGGUUCUGCUUAACCCAGCAUUAGCAUUUUAAUAACUGAGGAAAAUAGGAAAGGGAAAAUGUUAGCAUGUUACUUGUGUUGCCUUUUAGGUAGCGUGGUGUUGACGAAGUACAAACCAAUGAUGAUGACAUUCAAGCCUCUUUAGGGAAAGAGCAAGUCUCAGCUCUGCUCCUUUCUCCUUCCUCACAGUCCUACAUUCACUGACACUCUACGGGGACUGCAGAGUCCAAAUCCAGACUCUUUAGCCAGGGAUGCAAAGCCUUCUGUGAUUUAGCCCCUACCCGCCCAUUCAUCUUAAGUCACCACUCUUUUCCUAACCAAAGUCUGAGCUUCAGUUGUAUUUAUUUACUCAUUAUUUCAUGAACUCCUUUUUAAAGAUAAGACUUUGACUUGAAAUAACUUCAGAUUUUACAGAAAAGCUGUAAAGAUAGUAGAGGUCCUAUAUAUGGUUUGCCCUUUGAAUCUUUGAGUUUUGCAACCAUGGAUGCAACCAACCGUGGAUGGAAUUAAUUCCAAAAAACUUCCCAAAAGCAAACCUUGAAUUUGCUGCAAGCUAGCAACUUCUUACAUAGUACUUCCAUUGGAUUAGGCAUUAUAAGUAACCUAGAGAUGAUUUAAAGUAUACAGUAGGAUAUGCGAAGGACAUAUGCAAGUAUUAUAUCAUUUUGUAUAAGGGACUUGAGCAUCCAAAGGUUUAGGUAUCCACAGGGGUCCUGGGAUACCGAUGGAUGACUCUACUCCUGGUUUCCCUUAAUGUUAACAUAUUAUUAUGGUCCAUUUUUCCAAAUUAAGAAAACAUUAAUAUAUUACUCUUAACUAAACACCAGUUCUGCAGCUACUGUCCUUUGGCCAUCCCAGGAUGCCAUCCAGGACACCACGUUCAUCUAGACGAGGUACAUUUUUUGUUUCUUAGCCCCUGCUCAUCACGUGUUCCCUUCCCCAGGAUACUCUUUUCUCUCCUGACUUAAGUGCUACCUAUUCUUCAAGUCCAUUCAAAUCUUAUCUCUGCACUAACUUUCCUAAUUCCUUCUGUCCACAAUGAUUUCUCUAACCUUCAAACUCCAGAACCACUUUGGUCCAGAUCACAUAUUUGGAAUGUGGUGUUGACUGACCUGUAUUAUUACAUCUGUUGUUCUGUUUUGUUUACCAAUUAGCAUAUAAGGCAAGGGUAAUAUCAUGUUCAUUUUCUGACACAUCUGCAGGCAUUGUGUUCUCAAAAGCAUUUAUUGGUAAUGAAUUUGGUAUUCAUGUUAUUUAUUUUAUUUCACCAUUAGCAUAAAUAAUUGGGAGUCGGCUGUAAAUAUUAAUUGAAUUUUUAGUGGCCCAAGGUUACUACAUUUAUAUUUUAUGAUAUAAUAGAUAAUAAAUGCAACUCAAUGAGUAAAAAUAGCUAAUAUUUAUUGAGUACUGACCAUACCCCAGGCACCCAACUAAAUGUUUUAUAUGCAGCGUCACAGUUAAUUCUCAUCAAAUUUUACAUGGCAAAUACUACAGUUAUUCCUGUUUAAGGUUAAGUGAUUUGCCAAGGCCUGCACAACCUAAAGAGAUGGAGGCAAAAUUCACACUCGGGCAUUCUGGCUCCAGAGCAUGCACUCCUAACCACUUCACCGUAAAGUGCUUUUUGUCCUAGCAAUGAUUUCAGUUGAGUGGUUUAUUUUUUAUGCUUUUUUUUUUUUUUUAAACCCAUCAUUCAGUCUUUCCUUAACUUCUAAAACCUGGUUUACUUUUUUUCUUAUCGGUCCCAAUGACCUUAAAAUUUCUGCCAUGAUGUUUCUACUUUGUACACUGGGUUGGAACUUAAAAGCUAUUUUGCAUUAUGUCCCAUCUCCACACUCUGAGGGCGCAGACUUUGCAUCUUUAGGUCCGGUACUAAACUCUGAACUUCAUAAAUGCCGCACCAACUAUUUGUUUUUCCUCUUUGUGACAAUAGUUUUGAAAGUCUUAAAAAUUUUAAAUUAUAAAGGAAUGCCCAUUUGAAAUUCUGAAGUAUAAAUACAUAGACUAAUAAGUGAGAAACCUUUUCUUCUUCCCUAUUUCUCAGCGAUAGAUUGUUUAACAUUGUGGCCUUAAUACAGUUCAUUAAAAAUUAUGAAUAUUUUGGAAGGUCCCUUAUUGUGCACUGGGUUAGGGAUCUGGCAUUGCUGCAGCCAUGGUGAAGGUCACAACUGUGGCUCAGGUUCGAUCCCUGGCUCUGGAACUUCCACAUGCUGUGGGUGCAGCCAAAAAAAUUAUGAAUAAUUUUAAUUAUAAAUACAAACUCAUGACGUAAAAAUUGAUAGCUUUCCAGUGAUACAGAAGAAUAUGCAAAAAUCUUCCAAGGUUCUAAUUUUCAGAGGAAACUGUUCUUAAAAGCUUACUAUUAUAAAAGCUCCAGAUGUUUUCUAUACCUGGAAGCCUUUUGUAAUUCUGUUUUUGUUUUUGGCAGGAAGAAAAUCCUGACAUGUGCUGUCACCCUGAUCUCCCCCAGACCAGCUGUCCCUAAGAAUUUUGCUACUUUUGACACCGUCACAUAUUCUUUUUUUCCUUGCCACUCAUUUUCUAAACACGAGUCAAUCAAUCCUUUUCCUCUUUUUCAGACUACUUUCUGACUCCAGUGAAUGAGUUUAUCUGGGACCUCUGGUUUUUCUCUGAGUAUCUUCAUCCCUAGAGAGUUUCUCCAUUCCUGAUCAGGCUACCAUCUUUUCUCACACGGUUCUCUUGCUGCCAAACUUCUUUUUAGACUUUCUCAACCCACAGUCAUUCCUCAGCCCCUUGUGAUCUGAUUUACAUAUGCCAUUCCAAUAAAACUAUGUUUGAAAUUUCCUUAAUCACAGAAAAUCUCUACCACCACACUCCCCCCCGCCCCCAGUGGGUUUCUGGGGGCCACUGACUCUCUUUUCUGUGAGAAGUGCUCCCUUUCAGGCUUCUGAGCCAUUGCAAAAUCCAAGUUCUUCCUCUGCUUUUAGGACCUGAGCUUCCCCUACUGUAAUACGGCCACUCUGGGUCUUUUGUUCCUGAUCUCUGUCUCUCCUAGUGUCCCCCUGGGGGACGUCUUCACAAUCCCAACACCACUCAACAUGCGCUAACCACGUCUAACAUGAACUAACCUCUCUCGAAUUCCAGUUCCACAUCUCCCACUCCCUGCUCAUCAGAUUCACAAUUUACCUCAAGGCCAACCUAUCACAGCUUAAACACACCACCUAAAAACACACCUUCUUUCCCGUGUCCUUAUUCCUGUUCAUGAUAUUCCCACUUUCUUGGUCAACAAAGGAACACGUUGGUCUUCGUCCUCUCUAGUACCCUUUGAGUUCCAUCAAUCACCUCACCCAGGAAUUCCACUGCUGUAUCUUUUGCCUGCUGCUUCUUCCUAGUCCCACCAUCUCACUGUUUCUUAACUGCAUUUUUAGGGCCUCCUGAUUGUGUUAUCUUCAUCCCCGCCCACUUCAUUGUCCAUUUACCCACAAAUAGGUCAGGUAAGUCUUCCCUGAAACCUUUCCCUAACCUUCCACUUCCCUGCCCCAAACUCUUCAGUGACAAGCCACUACCUGUGAAUGAAAAAAUUCUUCAGCAUAGUUUUAGAUGUCCUCCUAACAGCGAUUUGCAGACUUUUUGUUUUAGGAUCCUUCUUCACUCUUAAAAACUUGAGCUUCAAAGAGUUUCAUCUAUCACUGUUUCCUAUAUUGGAAGUUAAGACUGAAGAAAAUUUAAAAAUAUUUACAUAUGUAUUUAAAAGUAACAAUAACAUAUUAACAUAAAUACCACAUUUUGUUGAAGCAAUAACUUUUUGGGAAAAAAGUAGGAGUGGCAUUGUUUCACAUUUUUGUAAACUCUCGAGAGUGUCAGACUUAAUAGGAUUUAAUAGAAGACAGCUGUAUUCUCUUAUCUGCUUCUGCAUUCAAUCUGUUGUGAUAUCAUAGGUCAUGUGGCCUCUGGAAAAUUCCAUUGUGUAUUUAAAAAGAGAGUGAACAGGAAAAUAACAUCUCAGUAUGAAUGGGGAAUAGCUUUGACUUCAUGGACCUUUGACGGUGUCCCAGGUCCCCCGACCACAUACUGAGAACCACGCUAUCUCUGCCUUCUCCCUCACGUCUCCUCCAACCUUCACGCUCCAGUUAAACUAUGCUUUACCUAUGAACGUAUUCACAUUUUCAUGGCUCUUCUUGAAAGAAGGAUUUUGGUCAAACCAUUGUAUUUAUUCAUUGGCAGGACCCUGUGGUUUGCCAGGGAACAGGGAUUUGGUGGGGAAAAAAUCCCUCCGAUUACUAGAAAAUACUCUUAAGUGGAAAUCAGGGAACUUACAUGCUCAUGACAGUUCUGUAACUAAGAUUUUCUGUCACCUCGGACAAGUCACUUAACUUGGUUUGUGCCUUGGUUCUCAGUUCUUGUCUGCGUAAACAAAGAAAAUAGAUAAGAUGAUCUCUGGGAGUAGUUCCAAGUCUAAAAUCAUCAGCGAUUUGAAAUUAAAUCACGUGCAGUCUAUUCUGAAGAAGUGGGAAACACCUGCCAUUUCCAGUCUUCUGUAUACACCCCUGACAUCAGUUUACUACAAACUGCUGUCUUUUUCUGAAUGCAUAAAAAGAUCAGGUUCUCAGAGUUCCUGUUGUGCAGUGGAAAUGAAUCCAACCAGUAGCCAUGAGGUUGUGGGUUCCACCUCUGGCCUCGCUCAGUGGGUUGAGGCUCCGGCACUGCUGUGAGCUAUACUGUAGGUCGCAGACGUGGCUCGGAUCCUGCGUUGCUGUGGCUGUGGUGUAGACCGGCGGCCACAGCUCUGAUUGGACUCCUAGCCUGGGAAC